rnacentral:rRNA from 1 species
AACGAACGCUGGCGGCAGGCCUAACACAUGCAAGUCGAGCGCGCCCUUCGGGGUUAGCGGCGGACGGGUGAGUAACGCGUGGGAACGUGCCCUUUUCUACGGAAUAGCCUCGGGAAACUGAGAGUAAUACCGUAUACGCCCUUUGGGGGAAAGAUUUAUCGGAAAAGGAUCGGCCCGCGUUGGAUUAGGUAGUUGGUGGGGUAAUGGCCUACCAAGCCGACGAUCCAUAGCUGGUUUGAGAGGAUGAUCAGCCACACUGGGACUGAGACACGGCCCAGACUCCUACGGGAGGCAGCAGUGGGGAAUAUUAGACAAUGGGGGCAACCCUGAUCUAGCCAUGCCGCGUGAGUGAUGAAGGCCUUAGGGUUGUAAAGCUCUUUCAGCUGGGAAGAUAAUGACGGUACCAGCAGAAGAAGCCCCGGCUAACUCCGUG